UGCAUUGCAUAUACUAACGGAUGC
rnacentral:siRNA from 1 species